ensembl:rRNA 5S_rRNA 5S ribosomal RNA
GUCUAUGGCCAUGCCACCCUAAACAAGUUGGAGAUCCCAUUCUGAUCUCAGAAGCUAAGCAGGGUCAGGCCUGGUUAGUUCUUGGAUGGGAGACCACCUAGAAAGACCAGGUGCUGUGUAGG